UGGUCGAGACUUCCAGAGGAGCCAGGGAGCUCUCAUGUUCAAACCCUAACUAGUCUAAAUUCAAGCAAUUGGAAGGCCAAAUCACACCCAAAUUGAAAUUCAAGCACGGAUUAGUGAUCACCUCAGUGAAGUGAUCAUAAGUUUGACGCUAAACGAGCUAGGUGGAGGCUUGGGGAAGAAGCGGGUCAAACGGUUCGAGUCCGCGGAAAAGAGCAUAGCCGGAUGAAAGGAUAAAAUGGUUUAUGAAUUAGCAAUGUUAUGGAUUAGCAUAUUAUGGAGGCAAUGUAUUGAAACGGGUCAAUAGGUUGACCCGAGCCAGGUACGUAUAAAUAUGAUUGUGGUUAAACAUACAUUUUUGGCCAAUAAGUAGCGAAAGUCCUUCGUCAUAAAAUGGGGGACUAAAUUUGACCAAAAAAACCUUUGAUGGGAAAACCGGACAAACGACCCUUAGAGAUUGUUUAGGAAUUUGAAUUAUGAUUAUGUAAUCCGUAGAUUGAAUAAAAGUUAUAGGGAUACACAUUUGUGGAUCAAAUGCCUAAAAAUGGGUCAUUUGCGUAAAAUGACCAACCAAAGGGUAAGUUUGGGAUAAUUAAUUAGUUAUGCCAAAUCCACCACAAAAAAUAGUUGUGGUGGAAUAUAAGUAAAUAUUUUAGAUGUGGAAUUACGAAGUGUGAAAAGAAAAGAGCUAGUUUUAGACUAAAUUGCUUAAAUCCCCUAAACGGUCAAAACGGAUCUAUGCGUAUAGCUUGCGUACUAGUUGCGUAAUUCAUAAGAAUUAUGAACCCGAGCUAAAGAUUUUGUGUUAAAUGCACUGGAGCAUGUAUUUUGAUUAGUUAGAAACAAGUUAGUGGUUUUAAACUUAAACGGGUCAAAAGUCUUAGUAAAUCAACUUCAAACCGAGGGCUUGAAAUCCUAUAUUUUGAGAAGUUAGAUAUCAGGUUUUAACUCCAUAAGAUGGAGAAUUAAAUUACGAUCGCGUAGGAAAAAGAAUCACGCGAAUCGGAUGAGUAGAACAAAAGUUAUGAAGUUUUAAAGUUAGGAUUUUGGUUUAAGUUUGAGUUGGGCAAGUGCAGCAACAAUUUGAGAAACAUUCUGUCGAUUUGGGGGUCUCGCGUUGCACGACAGGUGGGGGUCACCAUCGUCGCGGCACGCGACACUAGUCUCGGCACGCGACCAAACAUCAAAAUCCCGUCACGCGGCGCGACAGGUAAACGUUAGUAAGCUUACGGAUGAAGAUCAAGCUUGUUGAAGGACCAAACACAAUCAAGAUGCAAGCUCCUGCACGUUGUUUCGUCGUCAGUUUUAAACGACGAACUCACAUACAUUAUGUUGUAUUAUUAUUACAUUGUAAAAGUUUUAAAUAAACCCGUAUUUUCAUAAGUAUGUGUAAUUGUUCAUACACAUUUUUAGUUUAAAUUUACACGAAAAUCGU
rnacentral:lncRNA from 1 species